AAAGGUAGAAUAAAGCUUCAAGCAUGUAUUCAAGCAGCAGUAAAUUACCAAGGUGAUACGAGAUGAACAUAUCCAAAAGAACAGCUUACCCGCAAAAAAGCACAUUCCUUCAACUUCUUCCGUAUAAUUGCUUCUGAAAGGUUAGGAAACUGCACAGACAACUCAUCUACACCAAUGCAGGGCAGCAAACCACGUUUUGCAGCGGCAGAAAAUUCACGAUAUACAUUUACCAGCAUCCUAUUUAUGCUAUACGUCUGAAGGUUUUUUGAUCCAGGAGACAUUACCUCCAUGAGGGGCUCCUGCAAAUAUAAUCAACAAAAUAUAAUUUAUUAAUCUCCUUCAAGAUUAUAAAAGCUCUGUUGAUGUACUGAAUUUGGAAGAUUUGCAUAUCAUAUUGGCAGUAAUGCUCAAUCGGGUAGGAUUUUAAGUUGAGUUAAAGUAGAAUAGUUUUCCUUUUAGCUGCUAUAGGUAGGCCUUGUUAUAUAUUCGAUAAAAGAGCUAAUGAUUAUUUGAGAAUAAAAAGCCAAAUCUCCCCCCCCCCCCCCCAUUAGACACCAUGUAACAUACUAAGGUAGGUGUUAUAAGUUAGCACUGAAUUUUAAAAAUGAACAAAAGUCCCAUUUAGGAAACCAAGGGCAAGGAAACAAAUCAUGCUAACCCAAUAACUCAUUUUGAAGAAAAUAAAAUUCUUAGAAACAGGUAAAACUUACUAAGCUCGUUGGAUACCUGAUAUGGUUGUAAUAAAAAAAUAAUAAUAAUUAAAAAAAAAACAGGUUUUGGUUAUGGAAAGCAAAAGGCAUCUGAAAUAUGUAUUAACUUACAUGCUCUGGAUACACUAAUUUUCUCAAAUCACCCUCAGACGGAAUGUGGAAGGUACGCUUCAUAGACCAAACCUGCUUUCCGUUUCCAUCCCGCUGUAGGUUGCAUUUGCAUGUUAAAAAAACAGGUGAGUAUAAUAAAAUAACAACUAUUAAAACAGGACAGAAAGGUAGAAUAAAGCUUCAAGCAUGUAUUCAAGCAGCAGUAAAUUACCAAGGUGAUACGAGAUGAACAUAUCCAAAAGAACAGCUUACCCGCAAAAAAGCACAUUCCUUCAACUUCUUCCGUAUAAUUGCUUCUGAAAGGUUAGGAAACUGCACAGACAACUCAUCUACACCAAUGCAGGGCAGCAAACCACGUUUUGCAGCGGCAGAAAAUUCACGAUAUACAUUUACCAGCAUCCUAUUUAUGCUAUACGUCUGAAGGUUUUUUGAUCCAGGAGACAUUACCUCCAUGAGGGGCUCCUGC
rnacentral:lncRNA from 1 species